CAGUGUAAGGGGCAACGCAAGACAUUCAAAUUAUCUGAUUCUCAAAGAUUAAAGAUUUCUGAUACACAUUAACUGCUCUAAUGUAACAUAUUUUUGUUCGCAUUCCAGUCUACUGAUGCAUAUUUAUGGAGCUUUGGAAGUGUGAGCAAUAUAGUAAAUUGGUUUUCUCGAGAAUAUACACCAAUACAACUUCAUACUAUUUAACAUCACAUUUCAAAAGGUUAGAUGUAAGAACUUGCACAUUAUUCUGUUUUAUCUCCUUUUAUCCCUGAGGCUUGACUUUUCUCCUGUUUAACAUUGAAACUGGUGAUGCAAACAGUGGGUUAGCUGUCCCAGCACCAAGAAGCAAAGCACCACUUCCGCUAUGAUAAGCUUUUCAUCUGAGAAGAUGGACUUCGUCAAAUUCUUCAGUGUAAGUUGGAUGAGCCUCCAUGGGUUCUGUGGGCAAUGGAUUCCAGAGAUUCUCUCUGCACUGGUUGAGGACAUCUCUACUCAUCCCCCAUCAUAAAUGACUGACCCUUUAUUCUUGAGGCUACAACUCAAAGUUCUAGACAAUCCAGUUACGUGAAACAUCAAAGUUGCAUUUUCUAGCCUGUCAAAGUCCAACCCUAUCCUGUCCUGUCCUGAGAGAUGGAAAUGGGUAAGGCCAGCCAACAGGGAUCUGGUGAAGCUGUAUAGGCCAAUCCCUUGUACAGUGGAUGCAAUGGAUUGCAGAAGCAUUGAUGAACUCCAACCAUACCAUUGACUUCAGAGGACAAUGGAGACAGGAGAUCAUCGAUGGUCUAUGCUCCACUUAGGAGCUAAAGGUCCAAGUAAGUUAAUAAGUACAUUCUCAUCAGCUAGGUGCAACUUAUGGUAUGACCCAGCACCUAUAGGAUGUGGACGAAACGAACACCUGGAGGGAAACCAUGUGACCACAGAAAGAAAGUGGAAACCACGCAGACAGCACCCAAAGUCAGGUUUGAACCUGGGUCUCUAGCACUGCAGAACAACCACUCCGUGAGCUGCGUCAUUAUGAUGUCCUACAUUUAAUUAAUUCUGGAGUCACAACAACCUUGUAAAUUCUGGUACGAAGCUGAAUGCAAGGACUGUGUAAAGUAUUUUUUCCCCUUGAUGUGGUAAAUUCAGAGGUUGAUCCCUCAGCGGUAUCCAAAACCACAGACUCAGAUUCUUAAGUUUCAAUGAUGCCAUUAAGAAUCCUUCAUCUAGCUUUGAUGUUCCAACUCAAUUCUUUCAAGACAGUCAUUGAGUAAGUUAAAGCUGUUUUGGGUUAAAAGGCGGCUUGUUCUUUUGUACUGAAAUAAACCAAAAAGAAACAUACAAUCAAUGGGCAAUUUCACAAAAUUGGAUUCUUCGUCUUUCUUUAUUGGCUUUUACAAAAUCUAACUGCAGCACAUCAUGGAGACUUUAUCUACGAUGCAAUAAUGAAAUACAAAGCCAAGAAGACAGGAUCUUCUAAAUCUUGGUGAUGUCGGAGCCCUCACUUUCCUACUUAUAAUGCCAGGAAAAA